AUUGAACGCUGGCGGCAGGCCUAACACAUGCAAGUCGAGCGAGCGGCGGACGGGUGAGUAAUGUCUGGGAAACUGCCUGAUGGAGGGGGAUAACUACUGGAAACGGUAGCUAAUACCGCAUACCAUCAGAUGUGCCCAGAUGGGAUUAGCUAGUAGGUGGGGUAACGGCUCACCUAGGCGACGAUCCCUAGCUGGUCUGAUAGGAUGACCAGCCACACUUGAACUGAGAAACGGUCCAGACUCCUACGGGAGGAAGCAGUGUGGAAUAGUGCACAAGGAGCGCAAGCCUGAUGCAGCCAUGCCGCGUGUGUGAAGAAGGCCUGCGGGUUGUAAAGCACUUUCAGCGGGGAGGCGUUACCCUCAGAAGAAGCACCGGCUAACUCCGUGCCAGCCGCCGCGGUAAUAC
rnacentral:rRNA from 1 species